CAUGUGUACUCCGCCAGGUCCCUGGAGGGCACUGCUGUCUCUCACUUGCCCAGGCUUCAGAAGUGAGACUUUAAUCCUGGGAUUCAGACAACAAUAUGCAAAAGCAAGCAUAGGACCUGAAAUUAUCUGGGGCUGAAGGCUCCGCUGCUGUCCAUCGGUCUGCUGGCCCUGAACUCCAAGCCAUCAUGUUGUUUCAAAAGUGUGAUCUAGGCUAAAGAUCUGGCUCGGGCACCUAUGACUGCUUCCUAAUGUGUCAAAGGACUCCAAUGGGCCAUCCUGUCUACCAGGAACCUUCCAGUAAGAGGGGUGUGGUCUCUUUGCAGCCCUAGGCUAAGAACUCUAAGAGAUAACUAUAGAAGAAGGUCAAGGACCUAGAGAACUUU